GACGAACGCUGGCGGCGUGCUUAACACAUGCAAGUCGAACGGAAAGGCCCCCACUUUUUUGGUGGGGGUGCUCGAGUGGCGAACGGGUGAGUAACACGUGGGUGAUCUGCCCUGUACUUCGGGAUAAGCUUGGGAAACUGGGUCUAAUACCGGAUAGGACCAUGGUUUAGUGUCUCAUGGUGGAAAAAUUAUUGUUUUGGUGCAGGAUGAGCUCGCGGCCUAUCAGCUUGUUGGUGGGGUAAUGGCCUACCAAGGCGUCGACGGGUAGCCGGCCUGAGAGGGUGGACGGCCAAAUUGGGACUGAGAUACGGACCAGACUCCUACGGGAGGCAGCAGUGGGGAAUAUUGCACAAUGGGCGCAAGCCUGAUGCAGCGACGCCGCGUGGGGGAUGACGGCCUUCGGGUUGUAAACUCCUUUCGUUAGGGACGAAGCCGCACCUUUUUUGGGUGUGGUGACGGUACCUUUGUUAAGAAGCACCGGCUAACUACGUG
rnacentral:rRNA from 1 species